rnacentral:lncRNA from 1 species
UUAAACAAGAUCACCUUGAGAUCACAUGAACACCUUUAUAUUCACAACAUGAUUGCCUUUACUUCAUUUGAUUCUCAUUCAAGUCCUUCACAUCCCAUUCACAUAUAUGAUAUCAUGUCAACACUUCAAUUCCUCAUAUAAUGCCUCCAAGGCCAUAAACACAAUACAUUCAAUAAGUAAACACCUCCACCAUAAGUGGAUCACACAUCAAUCUAUCACAAUUCUAUAUCAAUUCUACCUUAACAAUGAAGUUAGGUCCACUUACCCUUUUUCCCAAGCCACAAUCACCAUUCCUCAACUCUCCAACAAUUCACAAUAGAUAAGCAUAGA